GUGUCUUUUGAAAGGAGAGCAGGUUAGCACUCCCCUUGACAAGGAUGGAACAUUUUCAGGGUCGGAGGCACACACAAAUCCGACCCUAGUACUUUUUUUU